GAUGGACGCUGGCGGCGUGCCUAAUACAUGCAAGUCGAACGAAACUUCUUUAUCACCGAGUGCUUGCACUCACCGAUAAAGAGUUGAGUGGCGAACGGGUGAGUAACACGUGGGCAACCUGCCCAAAAGAGGGGGAUAACACUUGGAAACAGGUGCUAAUACCGCAUAACCAUAGUUACCGCAUGGUAACUAUGUAAAAGGUGGCUAUACUACCGCUCUUGGAUGGGCCCGCGGCGCAUUAGCUAGUAGGUAGGGUAAAGGCUUACCAAGGCAAUGAUUCGUAGCCGAAGUGAGUGGUAGAUCGGCCACAUUGCGACUGAGACACGGCCCAGACUCCUACGGGAGGCAGCAGUAGGGAAUCUUCCACAAUGGGCGAAAGCCUGAUGGUGCAACGCCGCGUGGGUGAAGAAGGUCUUCGGAUCGUAGAGCCCUGUUGUUAGAGAAGAAAGUGCGUGAGAGUAACUGUUCACGUUUCGACGGUAUCUAACCAGAAAGCCACUGCUAACUACGUG
rnacentral:rRNA from 1 species